UACGAAGGGGGCUAGCGUUGCUCGGAAUGACUGGGCGUAAAGGGCGCGUAGGCGGAUGGCACAGUCAGAUGUGAAAUUCCCGGGCUUAACCUGGGAGCUGCAUUUGAUACGUGUUGUCUUGAGUUCGGAAGAGGGUCGUGGAAUUCCCAGUGUAGAGGUGAAAUUCGUAGAUAUUCGCAAGAACACCAGUGGCGAAGGCGGCUCACUGGCCCGAUACUGACGCUGAGGCACGAAAGCGUGGGGAGCAAACAGG
rnacentral:rRNA from 1 species